AUCGCUUCUCGGCCUUUUGGCUAAGAUCAAGUGUAGUAUCUCUUCUUAUCAGUUUAAUAUCUGAUACGUCCUCUAUCCGAGGACAAUAUAUGAAAUAGAUUUUUGGAAUUAGGAGAUGGAAUAGGAACUUGCUCCGUCCACUCCACACAAAAAAAUACAUAUAUAUUUACAUAAUUUGAAAACCCA